rnacentral:tRNA from 1 species
GGGUAGAACCUCGCCUUUGGCCCACUAAAGCCAAGAUUUUACCCAAAAUGCCCCCAG